UCCCAAUGAUGAACUUAGCUCACUUUGAACCGAUGUGAAACGACAUGAACUACUGAGUGAC
rnacentral:snoRNA from 13 species